rnacentral:antisense_RNA from 1 species
CUUGACCGAGCCGAGGUACAGCGGCUGCUCGCGGUCCUGGCCGUAGGCGGCCAUGAGCGCCUGGGCCUC